UACGUAGGGUGCGAGCGUUAAUCGGAAUUACUGGGCGUAAAGCGUGCGCAGGCGGUCUUUUAAGCCAGAUGUGAAAUCCCCGGGCUUAACCUGGGAACUGCGUUUGGAACUGGAAGGCUAGAGUACGGCAGAGGGGGGUGGAAUUCCACGUGUAGCAGUGAAAUGCGUAGAGAUGUGGAGGAACACCGAUGGCGAAGGCAGCCCCCUGGGCCUGUACUGACGCUCAUGCACGAAAGCGUGGGGAGCAAACAGGAUUAGAUACCCUGGUAGUCCACGCCCUAAACGAUGUCAACUGGUUGUUGGGGGAGUCAAUCCUUCAGUAACGUAGCUAACGCGUGAAGUUGACCGCCUGGGAAGUACGGCCGCAAGGUUAAA
rnacentral:rRNA from 1 species